GACGAACGCUGGCGGCGUGCUUAACGCAUGCAAGUCGAACGAAGAGCGAUGGACGCUUGCUUCUAUCAAUCUUAGUGGCGAACGGGUGAGUAACGCGUAAUCAACCUGCCCUUCAGAGGGGGACAACAGUUGGAAACGACUGCUAAUACCGCAUACGAUCUAAUCUCGGCAUCGAGGAUAGAUGAAAGGUGGCCUCUACAUGUAAGCUAUCACUGAAGGAGGGGAUUGCGACUGAUUAGCUAGUUGGAGGGGUAACGGCCCACCAAGGCGAUGAUCAGUAGCCGGUCUGAGAGGAUGAACGGCCACAUUGGGACUGGGACACGGCCCAGACUCCUACGGGAGGCAGCAGUGGGGAAUCUUCCGCAAUGGACGAAAGUCUGACGGAGCAACGCCGCGUGAGCGAUGACGGCCUUCGGGUUGUAAAGCUCUGUUAAUCGGGACGAAAGGCCUUCUUGCGAAUAGUGAGAAGGAUUGACGGUACCGGAAGAGAAAGCCACGGCUAACUACGUG
rnacentral:rRNA from 1 species